UGUAUUCAUAUCGUAUGUGACUGAUCUUUCCCAUCAGGUUGAAGUGGAGGAAGAGCACUGAACUUCAAGCUUUAAAGACAUCAGGGAGAGCUGCUGAAGGCAUUUCAUCAUCCCCCAGUCACCUGACUCACUGCAUAUCAACCUUUGUAUUGGUCUGCAGGUGUUUGCUGAGUUCCAUUGCAUCACAAAUAUGAACCUUCACAACACAUUCUACAGCCAGCUGGACCGACACACACUGCAACAGCAUACAGGCAGAAGGCCUCAGCGACAUGAGAGACAGGAACAGCAUGAUGUACACAAGAAGCACUCUGGCUCUUCAUACCCUCCCAUUGUACCUGCAAGGGGAUCUUCAAGAUCUCCUGCGAGUGGGACCAUGAGCCAAACUUUGAAGACACCCCAUGUGGUCACUGACAGCUCCACUGGUACCAUCCAGUUCGACCCUGACAGCAUUUCUGAUGUGGGUCUCCCCAGGUUGGAUGAUGUACAUUUUCAUAAUGUUGGUUUUUAUCUGAAGGUAAUCAUUUUACAAGGUUCCUUAUCUACCUCAGCACAUGAUACGUGUGAUUCAUUAUGUUAAAUCAUUGGAUCUUUAUUUGCUUUUGAUUCCACAAAAGUUAUUUUCUCAUAUUUUGUCUAAAUGUAUUGGUUAUUUCUAAUAAUGUCCUUAACUACUACCUUAUAACACAGUUUAAGGUUCUUUAAAUCCUUUGUAAAAUAAACACUGUCAGUGUUUCCAUUAAAAUACAGACACAUGACUGGAUCUACAAACCCAUUCCAGUUGUAUAGACUGUUUUAAACUUGAAUAAAAAAGGUGAACUG